CCACCCCAGGAGCUGGGAUUACGGGUGUCUGCCAUCACCCCUGGGUGAGCACACAGCAAGAAGGUAGCUGUCUGCAAGCUGGGAAGAGAGACCUAACCAAAACUUAACCACGCUGGCACCCUGAUCUCAGAAACUCAGUCUCCAGAACUGUGAGAAAAUAAAUGUCUGUUGUUUAA